AGCAGAGAAAGCUAUUAGACAUUAGAGCCCAUUAGAUAUGCAUCUCAGCCUUGGCCACCGGCAGAGCAGGCAGCGAGCAGAGUGCCAACUGCUAUUGAGGUCGCUGAUGAGACAUAGUGGCUGUGACCAGGAGACGACUCUGAGGGCACUGGGCCUUAGAGAACGACCAUAUCAACUGUGGCCGUAGAGCACCUUGAAGCCCACAGGUUACCUUCCCACUGGUUCUAGACUGGUGACUCCAGGCACGAUGUGAAAAGGAGCUGUGGGUCCCAUGGGCACCGAGGGAACCCAAGCCAUGAGGCUGUGACUCCCACAACCUGCUUAUCACUUCUCUCCAGGUCAGCCUGUGAUCCAAGAAGCCUGAACAUCAGAGAUGCUCUGCAUUGUGGAGAAACUACCUCUAGCUUUCUCGGGAUCAAAGGAAUUCCAUUAGCGAAGUGCAACUGACUUUUCUUACUGCGUUUAUUGUUUGAAAGCUGUGAACUGCACCAAGUCCUUGUGAUUAAACAAUGGCUGUUGUCCUUGACAUCUUUCCUCGUUGCAGAGCCCCAUAGCAUCACUGCUCGAAGAGUCCCUGAUCUGCUGAAACAAGAAGGACGUUCACGUAACACACACCUCGCCUGUGGUUGCCAGUCUAGUGGAGCCCAUCACGAGGGCAAAGAUGUUUCUCUGCUGCCAGGAGUAACCUGCUGUUUGCAUGCGAGCAUCACCUCUGGCGAAGAACUGGCCCCAAAGGAGGAGAGGGACCAGAAGGCUGAGAGCAGGUGACUCUGUCCAGGGAGCCACACCAGGCACCUUUUCAAAGCCUCACUUCCAGGCGCCUUUGCCCUCUGACCAGGAGCCAGGGCUCGGGGUAGAGGCCCCGUUCACAGCUGCUGAGCAGACUCUGUCAGGGAGGUUGCAUUUGUAGUCAAAUUGGCUUAAAAAGAAGAAAGACCUCAUAAAGGUGGCUGGAAAACAGUUGACCUAAAUUGCCUACCUGGAGUAUUUAAUGUUGCUCCAAGCCAGAUUCAAAAGCUGCUCACCACUUGCUGCCCAGAUUCUCCAUCUGGCCAGUUUAGAAUAAUAAUGGUGUAGGGGUGCUUAGGCAGUGCAGGGGGGACCUGGGAGGAAGGACUGAGUGCCGGGGAGCUGUGUCCCCCAAGAAUCACGGGAUAGUGGUGCCGCUCCCUCAUCCCUUGUGCCCUGUGUUUCAGGGUGCUGCAGAGGGUGCUGGAAUGCAG
ensembl:lncRNA